rnacentral:rRNA from 1 species
UGGGGAAUAUUGCGCAAUGGGGGGAACCCUGACACAGCCAUGCCGCGUGAAUGAAGAAGGCCUUAGGGUUGUAAAGUUCUUUCGGUAUUGAGGAAGGUUGAUGUGUUAAUAGCACAUCAAAUUGACGUUAAAUACAGAAGAAGCACCGGCUAACUCCGUGCCAGCAGCCGCGGUAAUACGGAGGGUGCGAGCGUUAAUCGGAAUAACUGGGCGUAAAGGGCACGCAGGCGGUUAUUUAAGUGAGGUGUGAAAGCCCCGGGCUUAACCUGGGAAUUGCAUUUCAGACUGGGUAACUAGAGUACUUUAGGGAGGGGUAGAAUUCCACGUGUAGCGGUGAAAUGCGUAGAGAUGUGGAGGAAUACCGAAGGCGAAGGCAGCCCCUUGGGAAUGUACUGACGCUCAUGUGCGAAAGCGUGGGGAGCAAACAGGAUUAGAUACCCUGGUAGUCCACGCUGUAAACGCUGUCGAUUUGGGGGUUGGGGUUUAACUCUGGCGCCCGUAGCUAACGUGAUAAAUCGACCGCCUGGGGAGUACGGCCGCAAGGUUA